rnacentral:rRNA from 1 species
GAUGAACGCUGGCGGCGUGCCUAAUACAUGCAAGUCGAGCGAAUGGACGAGAAGCUUGCUUCUCUGAUGUUAGCGGCGGACGGGUGAGUAACACGUGGAUAACCUACCUAUAAGACUGGGAUAACUUCGGGAAACCGUAGCUAAUACCGGAUAAUAUUUUGAACCGCAUGGUUCAAAAGUGAAGGACGGUCUUGCUGUCACUUAUAGAUGGAUCCGCGCUGCAUUAGCUAGUUGGUAAGGUAACGGCUUACCAAGGCAACGAUGCAUAGCCGACCUGAGAGGGUGAUCGGCCACACUGGAACUGAGACACGGUCCAGACUCCUACGGGAGGCAGCAGUAGGGAAUCUUCCGCAAUGGGCGAAAGCCUGACGGAGCAACGCCGCGUGAGUGAUGAAGGUCUUCGGAUCGUAAAACUCUGUUAUUAGGGAAGAACAUAUGUGUAGGUAACUGUGCACAUCUUGACGGUACCUAAUCAGAAAGCCACGGCUAACUACGUG